AGGUCGAAAUGUCCAGCUCUCGAGUCGCGUCUAUUUUUGGGGAUGCGCGUCUCUUCAGCGUACGAACUCGCAUUCCUUCGUGUUCAGUGUACAUGUAACGCGUCCGUGUUUUAAAAAAAUAAAAAAAAAACAUAAUAAUAAUAGCAGAAAAAAGAAGAAGUCAUAACUUAAAUGAAAGCUUAUGUUCGUGGGAAAAUGUUCAGAGUAAAAUAUUCCAAAUUAAACAAAAAUAAAUAAAUUAAUUUUUCCUCCUCUAUGAGAGUGCAAUUUGAAAUAUUUUUAUGGUAUCUAAGAGAGGCAAUGAAAAUUUAUUGGAAUGACGAUCAUUGAUCGAUCGAAUCGUUUCUGAAAGUGAAACUCAUUUGAUACGUGACUUGAACCGGUGCCAGCAUCGUCUCAACGCGUUGGAAAAGCAGCAACAUGGAAAUUAUUAUCGCGUUAAAUAUGUAUCAAGUGACUCACGAAAAGAAGACGUAUUCUUGUUACAUAACGUUAUGAAUGUCUGCUUACUCAACACCGUUUGUAUUAUCAAAAUUAGAAGUACAGUUUGGACAAUGGGAAGUGCUCCGACUUCCGGAGAACGAACAGUUAUGGCGAUGUCACGAGUCUCUCUUUUCUCGAUAAAUGCUUCGUUUGUAAUAUGAAUAAAGCUCCCGAUAUAGAGUCGGUCUGUCCGGAAUUAGAUCGUUCUAUUCGCGGUCCGAAGAAACCUGACGUCAAGCUUGCAACGAGCUGUUCGCGUCGUUCCUUGAGGCCUCUUUCCAAAACAAUGCCGCGCGUCUCGAUUACACAUGUUCUCACAAUAUCGUUCAAUACCACAGUGACAAAGUACCCUAUUCAAAGGAACAUUAUACAGAAUAGAAUUAGGUAUAAUUUUUUCACUUCAUAUUUGGCUUUUUCAUUACUUAAUUACUUAAUUAGUGACCACAGGGCGUAACAAAAAAAAAAA